CCUACGGGUGGCAGCAGUGAGGAAUAUUGGUCAAUGGGCGCGAGCCUGAACCAGCAAAGUAGCGUGAAGGAUGACUGCCCUACGGGUUGUAACCUUCUUUUAUAAAGGAAUAAAGUGAGGCGCGUGUGCCUUUUUGUAUGUACUUUAUGAAUAAGGAUCGGCUAGCUCCGUGCCAGCAGCCGCGGUAAUACGGAGGAUCCGAUCGUUAUCCGGAUUUAGUGGGUUUAAAGGGAGCGUAGAUGGGUUGUUAAGUCAGUUGUGAAAGUUUGCGGCUCAACCGGAAAAUUGCAAUUGAUACUGGGAGUCUUGAGUACAGUGGAGGCAGGCGGAAUUCGUGGUGUAGCGGUGAAAUGCUUAGAUAUCACGAAGAACUCCGAUUGCGAAGGCAGUUUACUAAACUGCCACUGACAUUGAGGCGCGAAAGUGUGGGUAGCAAACAGGAUUAGAUACCCUUGUAGUC
rnacentral:rRNA from 1 species